CUGGAAAAGAGUCGUAGAAUGCCAGGAAUCCCAAAGCCCAUUGAUUUCUGUAUUGAUUUACAAAUCAAGAGAGAUCGUGGAUAUCAGACAAAACUCAGAAAGAACUAUCAAGAUGGAAGUUAUCCUAUAGAUGUUGUAUCCAUGCCUGUUCGAAAUGUGAAUUAUAGUAUUUUUUCUUGUGGGAAUGGAAAUGAAAAACACGAGAUACUUUUUCUAGAAAUAUGGACUAAUGGAAGUUUAACCCCUAAGGAAGCACUUUAUGAGGCUUCUCGUAAUUUGAUUGAUUUAUUUCUUCCUUUUCUACACGCGGAGGAAGAGGGCGCUAGUUUUGAAGAAAAUAAAAACAGGUUUACUCCACCCCUUUUUACUUUUCAAAAAAGAUUAACUAAUCUAAAGAAAAACAAAAAAGGAAUUCCAUUGAAUUGUAUUUUUAUUGAUCAAUUAGAAUUGACUUCUAAAACGUAUAAUUGUCUAAAAAGGGCCAAUAUACAUACAUUAUUGGACCUUUUGAGUAAGACUGAAGAAGAUCUUGGCCAAUUACACGGAAUUCGCGAUUAUUCUAUUUCCUGA
rnacentral:rRNA from 1 species